rnacentral:rRNA from 1 species
GAUGAACGCUGGCGGCGUGCCUAAUACAUGCAAGUCGAGCGAACGGACGAGAAGCUUGCUUUUCUGAUGUUAGCGGCGGACGGGUGAGUAACACGUGGAUAACCUACCUAUAAGACUGGGAUAACUUCGGGAAACCGGAGCUAAUACCGGAUAAUAUUUUGAACCGCAUGGUUCAAAAGUGAAAGACGGUCUUUCUGUCACUUAUAGAUGGAUCCGCGCUGCAUUAGCUAGUUGGUAAGGUAACGGCUUACCAAGGCAACGAUGCAUAGCCGACCUGAGAGGGUGAUCGGCCACACUGGAACUGAGACACGGUCCAGACUCCUACGGGAGGCAGCAGUAGGGAAUCUUCCGCAAUGGGCGAAAGCCUGACGGAGCAACGCCGCGUGAGUGAUGAAGGUCUUCGGAUCGUAAAACUCUGUUAUUAGGGAAGAACAUAUGUGUAAGUAACUGUGCACAUCUUGACGGUACCUAAUCAGAAAGCCACGGCUAACUACGUG